AUUGAACGCUGGCGGCAUGCCUUACACAUGCAAGUCGAACGGCAUCGCGGGAAAGCUUGCUUUCCUGGCGGCGAGUGGCGAACGGGUGAGUAACACAUCGGAACGUACCGGCUAGUGGGGGAUAACCCGUCGAAAGACGGGCUAAUACCGCAUACGCUCUUCGGAGGAAAGCAGGGGACCUUUGGGCCUUGCGCUAGCCGAGCGGCCGAUGUCCGAUUAGCUAGUUGGUGGGGUAAAGGCCUACCAAGGCGACGAUCGGUAGCGGGUCUGAGAGGACGAUCCGCCACACUGGGACUGAGACACGGCCCAGACUCCUACGGGAGGCAGCAGUGGGGAAUCUUGGACAAUGGGGGCAACCCUGAUCCAGCAAUGCCGCGUGGGUGAAGAAGGCCUUCGGGUUGUAAAGCCCUUUCGGCAGGGAAGAAAUCGGCGGGGCGAAUAACCCUGCUGGAUGACGGUACCUGCAGAAGAAGUACCGGCUAACUACGUG
rnacentral:rRNA from 1 species